rnacentral:rRNA from 1 species
GACGAACGCUGGCGGCGUGCUUAACACAUGCAAGUCGAACGGAAAGGCCCUGCUUUUGUGGGGUGCUCGAGUGGCGAACGGGUGAGUAACACGUGAGUAACCUGCCCUUGACUUUGGGAUAACUUCAGGAAACUGGGGCUAAUACCGGAUAGGAGCUCCUGCUGCAUGGUGGGGGUUGGAAAGUUUCGGCGGUUGGGGAUGGACUCGCGGCUUAUCAGCUUGUUGGUGGGGUAGUGACUUACCAAGGCUUUGACGGGUAGCCGGCCUGAGAGAGUGACCGGCCACAUUGGGACUGAGAUACGGCCCAGACUCCUACGGGAGGCAGCAGUGAGAAAUAUUGCACAAUGGGCGGAAGCGGGAUGCAGCAACGCCGCGUGCGGGAUGACGGCCUUCGGGUUGUAAACCGCUUUCGCCUGUGACGAAGCGUGAGUGACGGUAAUGGGUAAAGAAGCACCGGCUAACUACGUG